GAUAGUGAACCAGUACCGUGAGGGAAAGGUGAAAAGCACCCCGGGAGGGGAGUGAAAUAGAACCUGAAACCGUGUGCCUACAACAAGUUCGAGCCCGUUAAUGGGUGAGAGCGUGCCUUUUGUAGAAUGAACCGGCGAGUUACGUUAUGAUGCGAGGUUAAGUUGAAGAGACGGAGCCGUAGGGAAACCGAGUCUGAAUAGGGCACCUUAGUAUCAUGACGUAGACCCGAAACCAUGUGACCUACCCAUGAGCAGGUUGAAGGUGCGGUAAGACGCACUGGAGGACCGAACCAGGGCACGUUAAAAAGUGCUUGGAUGACUUGUGGGUAGCGGAGAAAUUCCAAACGAACUUGGAGAUAGCUGGUUCUCUCCGAAAUAGCUUUAGGGCUAGCGUCGACAUUAGAGAUUCUUGGAGGUAGAGCACUGUUUGGGUGAGGGGUCCAUCCCGGAUUACCAAUCUCAGAUAAACUCCGAAUGCCAAUGAAUUAUGGUCGGCAGUCAGACUGCGAGUGCUAAGAUCCGUAGUCGAAAGGGAAACAGCCCAGACCACCAGCUAAGGUCCCAAAAUAAUUGUUAAGUGGAAAAGGAUGUGGGGUUGCACAGACAACUAGGAUGUUAGCUUAGAAGCAGCUAUUCAUUCAAAGAGUGCGUAAUAGCUCACUAGUCGAGUGACCCUGCGCCGAAAAUGUACCGGGGCUAAAACAAUUUACCGAAGCUGUGGAUACCUUUAUAGGUAUGGUAGGAGAGCGUUCUAUGUGUGAUGAAGGUAUACCGUGAGGAGUGCUGGAACGCAUAGAAGUGAGAAUGCCGGUAUGAGUAGCGAAAGACAGGUGAGAAUCCUGUCCACCGUAAGACUAAGGUUUCCAGGGGAAGGCUCGUCCGCCCUGGGUUAGUCGGGACCUAAGGAGAGACCGAAAGGUGUAUCCGAUGGACAACAGGUUGAUAUUCCUGUACUAGAGUAUGUAGUGAUGGAGGGACGCAGUAGGCUAACUAAAGCAGACGAUUGGAAGAGUCUGUCUAAGCAGUGAGGUGUGAAUUGAGUCAAAUGCUUAAUUCUAUAACAUUGAGCUGUGAUGGGGAGCGAAGUUUAGUAGCGAAGUUAGUGACGUCACACUGCCAAGAAAAGCUUCUAGCGUUUAACCAUACUCUACCCGUACCGCAAACCGACACAGGUAGUCGAGGCGAGUAGCCUCAGGUGAGCGAGAGAACUCUCGUUAAGGAACUCGGCAAAAUGACCCCGUAACUUCGGGAGAAGGGGUGCUGACUUUAAGUCAGCCGCAGUGAAUAGGCCCAAGCAACUGUUUAUCAAAAAC
rnacentral:rRNA from 1 species